ACUGGAGGAAGGUGGGGAUGACGUCAAGUCAUCAUGGCCCUUACGACCAGGGCUACACACGUGCUACAAUGGCGCAUACAAAGAGAAGCGACCUCGCGAGAGCAAGCGGACCUCAUAAAGUGCGUCGUAGUCCGGAUUGGAGUCUGCAACUCGACUCCAUGAAGUCGGAAUCGCUAGUAAUCGUGGAUCAGAAUGCCACGGUGAAUACGUUCCCGGGCCUUGUACACACCGCCCGUCACACCAUGGGAGUGGGUUGCAAAAGAAGUAGGUAGCUUAACCUUCGGGAGGGCGCUUACCACUUUGUGAUUCAUGACUGGGGUGAAGUCGUAACAAGGUAACCGUAGGGGAACCUGCGGUUGGA
rnacentral:rRNA from 3 species